CAAUCAAGCAGUAGGUCAUAGGUUGCCCCAAAAGGAUUUUAACACGUGCAAAACCUUUUAGCACACGCAAAACCAAUAACAGGACCAUUGGUCAUGGUAUUUGUUCGCACCGAUCAAUGGUUGUGUCAUUAGUUGUGCGCGUGCUAAAAGUCUGAGUAAGUCUGGCCCUUAAUUAAGGUGCAGCAGAACCCGUUGAACCUGGCUUCUGCAGACACGGGUUCCACCCAGUUUGGUUUCCUCUCUUCUCUCCUCUUCUCUCUAUGGGCGGCCUGUAGCGUAGUGGUUAAGGUAAAUGACUGGGACACGCCAGGUCGGUGGUUCUAAUCCUGGUGUAGCCACAAUAAGAUCCGCACAGCCAUUGGGCCCUUGAGCAAGGCCCUUAACCCUGCAUUGCUCCAGGAGUGGAUUGUCUCCUGCUUAGUCUAAUCAAUUGUACGUCGCUUACUUGCCGUCGCACAGCUCGUUCUCCUUCAGUGGUGUAUUGAUCCUCGAUCGGGCCACAACAUGUAUAAACCAAGGAACAGUAAAAGGGAAGUAAAAAGUUGUUGUGUCCAAUCUCCACACCCUGCUGUGACUAUAAGAGUCUGGAGACGUCCAAUAUCAUUCUGUUCUUGGGACUGUAGACAGCUUAUAUGCACGUACGGACAAUUCCAAGUUGAUUUUGGCUUUAUAAAAGGAAAUUGUGCACCGGUACGUGUAUGCAAGUUUUUAUGAAUCAGAAUAUUUUUUUAGCGUACCGAGACGCCUAGACGGGCUCCUGCGUGGCUCUCUCCAAGGUGCCGGUCCCUUAAAUACGUACGCGGGAAAUAUUCACCGUGAAUCACUUGCCGUCACACAGCCCGCUCUCCUCCAGUGAUGUGCUGAUCCUCGAUCGGGCCACAACAUGUAGAAACCUAUUUCAGGAACAGUAAAGUGGAAGUGAAAGAGUUGUGUCCAAUCAGUCUCCACACCCUGCUGUGACUAUAAGAGUCUGGAGACGUCCAACGUCGUUUCUGUUCUUGGGAAUGUAGACGACCUGACAAACACAGGGUUCCCAGAGGCUCCAGAGCACUUUCCUCUGCCUCCUUGGAUUCCUUCCUUUUCCCAGACAGGCAGGCGGUGAGUGUCUGAGAGAUUUCUGCGUUCGUACUGGUGGGAACACAAUAUGAGCUCAGAGAACAGGAAUAUAGGAGGACCUGACUACACCACCGAAACCACACGGGAGGGAACAAUGCCCAACCUUGAGCGAGAUGUGCAGGGUGCAGAGGCAGUGAAGAUCAAGCGGACUGGGAGGUGUCACUGUCUGCUCGAGGCAUUGAGCGUGAGAGAGAGAUGUCACAGUAUGGGGAGAUUAAUCUACAUGUAGCUGAUAAAGCAAAAUAAACUUGCGGAAGACUGUGUCAUGUCACGAUCUGUUCACGCUCACGGUCCCACGGUGGUGGAAUGACCUCCCGGUGGAUGUCAGAACGGCAGAGUCUCUGACCUCCUUCAAGGGCAACUGAAGACCCAUCUCUUCAGGCGACACCUUUCCCUCCCCAAUCACCAUGAUUAGCCUUAGACUGUAAUGGCACUUAUGUAUAGAUAUCCUUACUUGUAUAGGUAUUGCUGUUUUCAUUGGCUGUUGUAUUGUUGUAUUCUAGCUGCCAACUGUGGUAUGCUAGUUUGAAAGUUGAUUGUACUCUUCAAGGGUUCUGAUUUUCUGUAUGUUUACGCUAGGACUCGGAACUAUACUGUCCUCUCGGGUCCUCUUGGCACUUGUUCUUGUGUUUGAUUUGCACUUUGUUGUACGUCGCUCUGCAUAAGUACGUCUGCUAAAUGCCACGUAAUGUAAUGUAAUGUAAUGUUACACUCUGUAAAGUGUCUCAUAAAAAAUGCUAAAUGAAAGGAA